GCAAAACUGAGUGAUCCAGGAGAUGGUGGAAUAAAGAAUGGAGUAAAGGAAUGCAGAACAAAGGGAGAAAGCAGAGAUCCAGAAAGCUGUGCCAGGAGUCCAGAAGACCCACAUCAUGAGGAUCAGAAAUUCCGCUUACAGCGUCGGCUCUCUUGGCCUUCUCCAUUCAGGGUAAUUGUAUUGGAUCAGAGCAACUCUCCUACGUGAUGAAAAUGGACAGAGAAUAAAUUCUAAUAUAUCACCUGCUUACUGCAACUUGGCCAGUAGAC